AGGUGAGUAAGUUAAUAAAAACUAUGGGGUUCAUGUCCCCACAAUAUGGUCUCCAUCUCACCAA
rnacentral:tRNA from 2 species